rnacentral:lncRNA from 1 species
GAACAGGUUGCCUCGGGUUCAUCAGUGCAAUGACACAGGUACUCUCUACACGACCAUCCCGACUUGGCCCGAAUUGUCCCUUCUGUCACUUGCAGGUGUUAUGACAAGUAACAAACCACAGUGGAAAUGUUUGAAUUUUCCUGUCUCUGUCCCUAAAAUACCUCUCUGGGACGCCGUAGUGGUGACAGGAGAUAAAACUCUGUGUAGCUGUCCUAUAGCUUCUGCCUUUUCUGUGGGCUGGGCUGCAGACCUCCUUCAUAGUAAUGUUUGUAAUUGUAAAGUUUAUUCUUCGGUGUAGGACAUGAAUGAUAAUAGGUUUAAACAGCUUCACAACUAAAGCAUAAAGGAUGAGGGACACGGAUUUCUUGGAUCUUCAAUUUUUAAAAAGCUGAAGAACAUUGUUCUGGCUUUGUUUUCAGUGCUGGGGAUUGAAUCCAGGGCCUCACACAUGUUAAGCAUGGCUGUACCACUGGGCACACCCCAGCCCUGUCCUGGCUUCCCCACUACAGAGGCAGUGAUGAGGGGGAAGAGCCUGGAUGCUGUGUCACCCAGACAGACUCUCUCCUGCAACUUCUGCUGUCCUCCACUACACACAACUAGAGGCCAGGUGAGCCACCCUUCAUUCAUUCAGGAGGCAGCUGUGACUUGGGGCAUCUCUCACCCUCCCUCACCCUCGAUUUCUUCCUGCAGUAACAGCCUCUCAGGGCCAAUGGGAAAGUUAAAGAACCAGAACUGCAUAGCUGGUGCUCACGUGAAAACAAAGGGCCUGUCUGGCCUGGUUACUGUUCUCCGUCUCUGAAGGGCUCCAGGCAGUGCAGGCACAGCCUCCCACCUUGCUAAUGCUCUGCCAUUACUCCUUCCUGUGCUGUCCUCCCUCCGAGGGUUGGAGGCCCACACCAGCGGAGAAGGUGCUGUUGACUCACUCUCACAACUACCAGUCUUUGUGUUAUCAG